GAGCGGACCUUCGGUGUGAGCGGCGGACGGGUGAGUAACCCUGGGUAACUGCCUGAUAGACCGGGAUAACGCUUGGAAUCGAGUGCUAAUACCGGAUAUGCUCUUGAAGCGCAUGCUUUGAGAGGGAAAGAGGCUAUCGCCUCACUGUCAGAUGGGCCCGCGGCGCAUGAGUAAGUUGGUGAGGUAACGGCUCACCAAUGCGAUGAUGCGUAUCCGACCUGAGAUGGUGACCGGCCUCUCUGGGACUGAUACACUGUCCAGACUCCUACGGGAGGCAGCAGUAGGGAAUCUUCCGCAAUGGGCGCAAUCCUGACUGAGCAACGCCGCGUGAGUGAUGAAUGCCUUCGGGUUGUAAAACUCUGUCUUCUGUGACUAUCAUGCCUGUGAUUGGAAAGCUCAUGCCUUGACGGUAACAUAUGAUGAAGCCCCGGCUAACUACGUGCCAUCAGCCGCGGUAAU
rnacentral:rRNA from 1 species